rnacentral:rRNA from 1 species
GAGUUUUGAUCAUGGCUCAGGAUGAACGCUAGCUACAGGCUUAACACAUGCAAGUCGAGGGGAAACGAUAUUGGAAGCUUGCUUCCGAUAGGCGUCGACCGGCGCACGGGUGAGUAACGCGUAUCCAACCUGCCCACCACUUGGGGAUAACCUUGCGAAAGUAAGACUAAUACCCAAUGAUAUCUCUAGAAGACAUCUGAAAGAGAUUAAAGAUUUAUCGGUGAUGGAUGGGGAUGCGUCUGAUUAGCUUGUUGGCGGGGUAACGGCCCACCAAGGCAACGAUCAGUAGGGGUUCUGAGAGGAAGGUCCCCCACAUUGGAACUGAGACACGGUCCAAACUCCUACGGGAGGAGCA